rnacentral:rRNA from 1 species
CAAGGAAUUUUCGUCAAUGGCCGAAAGGCUGAACGAGCAACGCCGCGUGGGCGAAGAAGUCUUUCGGGAUGUAAAGCCCUUUUCCCUGUGAAGAAGAAAAGACGGUAACAGGGGAAUAAGCAUCGGCUAACUACGUGCCAGCAGCCGCGGUAAUACGUAGGAUGCAAGCGUUGUCCGGAAUUAUUGGGCGUAAAGAGCGCGCAGGCGGUUGGUCAAGUCAGAUGUGAAAUAACCAGGCUUAACCUGGUGGGGUCAUUUGAAACUGGCCGACUAGAGACCAGCAGAGGAUCGCGGAAUUCCCGGUGUAGUGGUGAAUGCGUAGAUAUCGGAGGAACACCAGUGGCGAAGGCGGCGAUCUGGGCUUGGCACUGACGCUGAGGCGCGAAGGCUAGGGGAGCAAAACA